rnacentral:rRNA from 1 species
CCUACGGGUGGCAGCAGUGGGGAAUAUUGGACAAUGGGGGCAACCCUGAUCCAGCCAUGCCGCGUGUGUGAAGAAGGCCCUCGGGUUGUAAAGCACUUUCAGUGAGGAAGAACGCCUGGUGGUUAAUACCCAUCAGGAAAGACAUCACUCACAGAAGAAGCACCGGCUAACUCCGUGCCAGCAGCCGCGGUAAUACGGAGGGUGCGAGCGUUAAUCGGAAUUACUGGGCGUAAAGCGCGCGUAGGUGGCUUGAUAAGCCGGUUGUGAAAGCCCCGGGCUCAACCUGGGAACUGCAUCCGGAACUGUCAAGCUAGAGUGCAGGAGAGGAAGGUAGAAUUCCCGGUGUAGCGGUGAAAUGCGUAGAGAUCGGGAGGAAUACCAGUGGCGAAGGCGGCCUUCUGGACUGACACUGACACUGAGGUGCGAAAGCGUGGGUAGCAAACAGGAUUAGAUACCCCUGUAGUC